rnacentral:lncRNA from 1 species
UCCUGCUGCCCCAGGGGAGUCCGCGUCCUCCUGAGUUACAGACAAGUGGCCUCCGAGGCCCAGAUGGUGCAGGAGUGGCUGCGGCUGGCCUGUCGGGAGCCCGGGAGCACAGUGUCUCCUGUGAAUUCUCUGGCCGCGCCCAGCACCGUCCCCUGCUCCACGUCCCUCUGUCCCUCUCAGGAAAGGUUUUGCGUCUCCUCGCUUGGAACUGAACCAUUUGUGUUCAAGGUCAAAGGCUGUUUGUCAUCUGACUGCACCGUCUCUCAUCAGCACGGACGGCUCUCCUGGAACAGAGGAGCGAGGCCCCAGGUCUCACUGCCUGGCCUCCACGGGGCCCCGUGGGCAACCGUGAGUCACUGCUUCGUGUUCUUCUGAAGAGGGGUCUGCAGGGGUGUUGGGUCUGGUCCCCCAAAUCUGGGUCUGCCUCGGAUGGAAGUCGAGACUGGAAUAAAACCUUGACUUUUCUGACACUGACUCCAUUUUCGUGAUAACCUCUAACCUAUUUCACGCCUCGAAAGGCUUGUCUUUGCCCUGAUCCUCAGUAACUGAUAGAAUUCAGGAACCGAAACUUCCGCCUUUUGGGCACAUUGCUCUCGGUUAAGCUCAGUGGACCUGAGUGGGCAGAGGGAGAAGUGUCCUCCUCUUACAGUUCAUCGUCCAGGCCCGAGAAACGCUGCUCCCUGCUUAGCUGCUGCCUCCGGACCUGGCCCGUCUCAGGCUCAUCUAACGAAUUCUGAGCCGCGUCCACGCCCAGAAGACCUGCGUUCUGGGCCCCACACUGCCGGCCGCUGGCCACUCAGCUUCCUCAUCUGUAACUGAACAGCCGCACGGCCCCUCCCACCACAGCGCCGACCACAGACGUAAGGUGUGUGAACGGGCCGCGUGGUUCACCUGCGCCUCCUCAGGUGCUGUAUGCCGCUUCAGUUGUUUUCUCCGACCUUUCUCAUCUGAAAGAGCUCAUCAAUCAAGAAAGAUUCUUCAUGUCAAGGUCGGCCCUGCGCCGGCUAAGGGGAGGGAAGGGCAAACUUCGAAAGACUCGAGGAAACCAUGUCCCCAGAACAAUGACUAUUUUUGGUGCCAGUGGGUUCAGCGAAUUUGGCCAAAAGUGGAAUGGAGGGAGCCGGCCUUCACUUCUGGAACCUUCUCCCCAGCACAUCUGUGGACACUCACAAGUCUGGUAUCUGAGCUGAAGUUCAAUCGAGGCCACAUCAGGAUGAGUUUGUCACGCGUGGGGCACCGAGCAUCACAGAUGAGGAGGAUUCUGGAAUCGCCCGGGACCGAUCACCAGCACGGUCCAGUCUCUGGGAAGUUCUGUUGGACUGAAUCAAGGGAAAAGUGAGAACAUGAGAUUUCCAAUGUUCUACAGUGAUUGAUCUACAAAACCAUCAGUGUGACAUGACAGCAUCACCAGGGGCUGACGGAGAUCUGCGUACCCAGGACCCGCCCAGCUCACGCAGGCCUGACAGAGAAGUCCAGCAUGUGAGGGCCCCGAGUUCACUCUUGUCUCGUGAAGAAGCACUGAAGAAUCUGUGCCCCUGCCGAGUCCGGAUGAGAUGCCCAGUAACCUGACUGGACCUCCCUUGACCAGGCUUCUCCCUCCCAGACCCUGAACCCACCCUCCCUGAGCCCUGGAGUGAACACAGCCCCACUGUGUUGCUGGACGGCUGACCCCACGUAAAACGUCCUCUGACCUCCCGCCCGUCAGGCUCCUCUGCUGCCCACACGGUUCUGUCCAGCCCCGCUCGCUCCCCAGAGAACAGCCCCUGCUGCCCAGGCUGGAGACACUCCCGGGUCUCGGGGUUGGACCUUCCCAGCGCUGCGCUCAGUGCUGGCUGUCGGGCUCUCCUUGCGUGGUGUGGGUUGAACUGCAUUCCACUAAAAUCCGUGUGUUGGAGUCCUCAGAAUAUGACCUUAUUUGGAAACGAGGUCGUUGGGGAGGGACGUAAUUAGCUAAGACAGGCCGUGCUGGAACGGGACGGGCCCCAGUGCAGUAGUACUUUUGAGUAAAGUCCCCCCUUACUUCAGUCCAGUUUGUUUUCUUAUUUGGCACCACAAUACCUAUCUGUGCCCUGUUUAUCUUCUGGGAGCGUGUAAGAAGCAACAAGAUAAUGUGUGCAACACACUUUACAAGUGAUACAGCACACACUUGAGCUUUUUCCAUCUUACAGUGACUAACUGGCUUCAAAACUUCCUAUUCUCCCUCAGAGCUGUACAGAGUCAUGCAGGAUGGGGGCAGCAGGUGGCACCAGAGGUUUCCCUUUGACAGACUGUCCUCGAGGAACCAGGGGUUCUCAAUUGCACGACAAAGAUGUUCCCCGUCUACGCCGGCGCUGGUCUGAGUGAGGGUUCCAGGCCAGUGUUCUGACCAGGAUGGGAACACAGAGGAUGAGGUUGUGGAAACACGUGGAUGCUGUCACUGCGUCGACUGAAAAGAUUUGGAGGGUCCCUUCUGAAGUUAACAAAGCCACGUUUCAAAUGGCUCUUGCUGGGACCCCAAGUUCUAGUGCAUGGUGACAAGCUGGGAAAGUCACAUGUCGAGGACGACAUCUGUGACGACACAGGAGGAGGAGGACCCUGGGAGUCACAGCGGGGUCAGACGGGUCUCAGCACACGGCUCCACGCAGAUCGGCCGCCACAUGUGGGCUGCGCUCUCUGCAGAUGGAACAGAGAGGCUGGACUGCAGCAGUUCAUGCUUGCCCCAGGUUUUCUUCAAGUCACCAACUUCCGUCAGUUCUGGAGCAGCCUCUCCCCACCCCAUCUCCCCGGCGUUGCUCAGUCCUGCUCCUUCCCUGUCACUCUCACUGUCACUGUCUCCAAGUCCAGUGACGGCCACAUAGUUCCUCUGUCGGUUUAUUCUUUCAGUCAUCAAUGUUCUUUUUUCUCCACAGGAUCAAAUCCGUAGGGCCCCCGAAAUUUGGCAAUGCCCCACCCUCCUCCUAGUCUUCAGUACCAAUAUCCCAAACAACACGUGCAUGGUCUUUCUCAUCGUAAAUCUUGGUCAUGGAGCUUCCCCGAAAUGAGAUCCCCUCCUCUCUCAUAUGUACUAAAGUGAACUGGCCUCGAGGCUCAGCUGCUUUCCACCUGCUAACGGAGAAAUCUCUGAUCGUGGCAGCACCAGCGUCUCGUGCACGGGAAGCAAGGCCGCUUCGAACACACCUCAUUCAGCGCCCAGGCUGCCUGCUCCUGCCCUGGCCCGUGGCUCUCCCUGAGAACAGGACUUCCCACUGGGAGGCAGGAGUUUCUGGACUGUGGGUCCCACGUUCCUGCGUAGAGAUGAAAUGCUGAGUGAUCAGAACCGCGUGUCCCCUGUGCUCAGCUUCUAAAUCAAGAGCCAGAGGAAGAUGGGGGAUGCGACACCUGAAAGUCCCCGAGGUCAUUUGGGGCCAGCGUCUCACAUCGGGUUCCAGAAUCAACAAGUCGGUGUGCUAGGGUUUACUCUCCAUCUGUUUUCUUAGAAAAAACAGUCAGACGCUUCGUUCCAACAGGACUCCCUCCCGCUGACUCUGUGACGUUAACUGUAGAAACAGCCACGACGUUGAAAGGUUUGAAGACUCAGACCCACACGGCUAAAGAAAAGGAAAGGACAGUUUUCUUUGGUUUUAUUGCUAAAUACGCUUAUACGUAUGACACAAUCACACGAUUCUACACAACACACUUACACAACAGAUAAUUAACACACCAUGAGAAGGCCAAACAAACCGUAGAUAUGAGGUAUCGUUUCUAAGUUCCCCAAUUUUAUGAAGCAAAACAUAUUGACCUACAGCCAAAAUUAUCAUUUGAACAGUCAGCUAAACACACCGUUUAAGAAAAGGAUUAUAAAGCUCUUUGUACUCAUAAAUAAUCAAAUCCAAUCUCACAGUAUAAAAGAGUUUUAGUAGUUGUGAAAUAAUAUAAAAAUGUGAAGUUGUGGCUUUUUAAAGUUCGAUUCACCUACAAUAGCACGUAUACUGUGUCGGUGACGGAUAUUUGAGAUUUAAAGUAUUGGUAACACAGACAUAAUCAGACUUAAACAUUUUAAUGUUUUGUGGUACUUUUCACCCAGAUAGUAACUCACUACUUUGUGAUUAUUAGUAUAAAUAACGAGGUGUAUCCUGUGUAUUUCGUUCUUGUAAUAAACGUUCGCUGAAUGCUGUUGCCCACCUCGUAUAUUCACCGGAACCUUCCUUUCAGGAAAGGACGGUGGGAAACCAAGAGGGCCGUGAGCUGAUUACAGGCCCAGAUGUGUGCCACGGCCUGGAGCUGCAGGCUGUCACUGUUCCUUAAUUAGGCUGACAGAAACCUCACACCCGUGUUGGCCGGAAAACAGACUCAUUCACAUAACACUACACUGAGACAAAGGCAAAUACUUCAAUACAUAAUUCAGUAGGUUCUAAAAUUGUUAGUGGAAACAAGCUGAAAACCCUCAAAACUCGCAACACGUAAGGAAACGUGCUCUUGAGGUAAGGU